UUUUUUUUUUUUUGAAGAAAUGUCAUUUAGCUUUAGUUUACACUGCUGUUCUGAGAAACUAAUGCUGACUCUGCACAAACAACGAGACCAAACAGGAAACACAAACAGCCACCAGCGAGCGACAAAGACCACUUCCCAGUUUCCAUGAGUAAUGCUUCCCAGUUACCUCAGGUGCAGUCUCUGGACACAAUCAUUCAAUUGUUAUUCAGUCCUGACAGCACUGCACAACUUUUCUCUGUUAUGCUAAAACUACUGAAGAAUUAACAAACUUCCCUUGCCUCUGCCUGUCUCACCACCAGCAGGUAUUUCGGUACAGGGUCACAUCCAAGAUGUCACAAACCGCUGCCAUCUCUGCUCACAUGAUGCACACCAGGACAGGAGAGUCUUUGGAUCAUCUUUACCCUUCCCCCUGGAGGGGACCUGACCCUAAACACCCCAGUCUCAGUGCUUCACAAGGAAUCACUCGGCAAUCCUCCGGCUCAGCAGGAUCCUGCUCUGAUGAACCUCACUGUGUGUCCUAGGUUCAGCAGUAGCAGUCAUUUUUUCUUCUUCUUAGUAGCUGGUGCAGUGCUGUGUUUUUAACUUUCAGCCUGGGAACAACGCUGAUAACACUGAUGUUUUUAGUUGUUGCUAAGUAAUGUUUAUUCCAACCAAGGACUUUCUCAGUCUCAUGCUCUGCCAGGGAGGAGGGGAAGCCGGGAGGAAGCAGAGACAGGACACCUGACCCAAACUAGCCAAAGGGGUGCUCCAUACCACAGCACGUCAUGCCCAGUGUAUAAACUGGGGGGAGUUACCCGGAAGGCCAGAUCGCCACUCGGGCCGGGCUGGGUAUCAGUCAGCAGGUGGUGAGCAAUUGUAUUCUCUCCCCUUGUUAUUUCACUAAUCGUUAUUAUCAUUGGUGGUAGCAGUAGUGGUUUUGUGUUUUACCUUAGUUGCAGGACUGUUCUUAUCUCAACCUGUGGGAGUUAGUUACAUUCUUUCGAUUCUCCUCCCCAUCCCUCCAGGAGCGGGGGGAGGAAGAAAGAGGGGAGUGAGUGAGCAGCUGCAUGGUUCUGAGUUACCGGCUGGGCUUAAACCACGACACUCCGCCUACUUAUGAAAUCAGAGGCUCCAGGACCACCUCAGGUGACAGGCAAAGAGAUGAGAAGGCACCAGAAAAUUAGCUUCUGCAGUGCUGUUUGUGGUGCUUGCCCCCAGGAUUUAACCUUGGUGCCUCCCUUCCUCUCUAUAAAAGGCAAAUUACUUCCAUAUCUUCCAACCACACUGUAAAUCGAUGCUUUGUAGCGGAAGAACAUACCACAUUCCAGUUUCUUUCUGUGGACAAAGUGAUCCCUUAUUCCGAAAUAAGUUACUACUUCCUAUGAGCAGAAAUACCAGGAUCUACUGGCCCUGCUCCUAGCCUGCCAGCACUCUCAGGAGGAAUCAUUAUUCAUCGUAGAUGAGGACAUAUUGAUACAAACAGCUCUUACAAUUAUUUUACCACUUCACAGUGAGUAAGGAAAUGCUUUCAAAUACAGAUUUGUGGUAGCAGGAAGGUUGUUAAAUGGACAUUUUCCCUUUUGCCAUUUUUCUGUAGUGA
ensembl:lncRNA